AGUAAUGAAGGUAAUUUCACCCCUAAGGAGUUACAGCUGCACUAAUUAUCAAGAAUUAGGAACAGGCCUGCCCUUAAUAGGCCACAGCUAGAUCCAAUUAGGAUGGGUAUUGUAAAAGAGUAGGUUGGCUGGUCGAGAAGUUAGAUGGAGUUUGUUAGCUGUGCUGGGAGGAAAAUGGAGUUAGUAGUGUGAGGAGCUACCCAUAAGAAAUCACCGACAAGCCACUAGUGCUCUGUAGAGGAGAUUGUCGCCUGCUAGGAAAGAAGCAGAAGGAAGCAGCAAAGCAAGGAGUCCCCAAGUCUGCAGAGCAUCACAGGUCACCUACAACACUGUCUCUGUUUCAUGGGAUAUACUGGAGAUCUCUGAAAUCAGGACAACUGUGGAGUCAGGCCAGCACCAAACCUGAGCUGUGAUCAGCAGAUUUAAACACAAUUUUAUUACUAAAAAUAAGAUCAAAAUUAUCACAAAUUGCAGAUUGCAAAUGUAAUAUUCCAAAACAUGCUUCAAAUCUGGAAGCACUCCAGAACCAAAAAAGUGAUGUUUUUGAAAAUUUAUACUGGAGUAUAAUCUACGCACUCUGUAGCGUCAACUCACAAUUCCAGUACUGUUACUGUGAAGUCAGACUUUAUUUCCAGACCCAAUGAGCAGCACACAUUUUUUACUAUACUAUCUAACCCUACAAAUCAGAGCAAAUGUGCAAAAAAGCACCUUCCCCAAAAUCUAACAACUAUUAAUUGCAAGUAACAAUUAAAGGAGCAGACAAUUUUGCCUCUCAAAUGGAAUAUAGAACAGUGUGUCCAAAUUAGUGGGAUAUAUUUUGUGCGAUAUAAGUGAAUGUACAGGGUACAGCUUAAUUCAGCAUUGUAGAGGUUUCAAGAAUUCCUACAAUUUUGCUGUGUUUUUAAACUGCAACAAUAUGACAAUCAAAGCACAAUGGGAAUGAGAACCCUUCUUAUCGAGUCAGUCAGAGCAACAACAUGAGCCACUCUCUUGGUUCUUCUUAAAUAUUAACCACCUGAAUUAUCCAGUACAAAAGACCUCUUUAUUGGAAAACACAUGAGAAAAAGCAGAUAUUUCUCUGCUUUUGCAUGUCACGCUCUCCAGAGCUGCUGUGGAGCCAGAGGAUUCCCAGCAGGGAAGGAGUUGCACUUCAAGUUACCUUUCAAGCUUCUGAGAGCUGAUCUUGGGCUUCAACAUGCUCAUUCUGGGAAUAAAAAUUAUGAUAUUUUCUGUUAUCUCACUCCAAAGAAAGAUAACUUGGAUUUUCCCUUACUAUUGUGUGAGUGUAAUUGGAAAGGAUAGCUCUAAAAAAUAUCCUAGCUCUAGAAAAUAGCCUCUGUCAUUAACAUUAAGAAUAUUUAGCUGUCUAGCAUCUAGGAGUUUAUGGCACUGUAAAUUGUUUAUACUUUUCCAUACCACUGUAAAAUAAAAAAAAUGUAGCAGUUGUAUUCAUUUUGGUAGAAGCACAUGCUUUCAUAAAUUACCAGGCUUGAAAAAUUAAGCUGCUACGUUCAAGGCCAAAGUUUUAAAGAGAUGUCAAUCCGUUUUUCAUUAAUGUCAUUACAGUUAUUGGGAGGUGGUGGGAAGGUUUGCCCAUGAUUUCGUCUCUACUGGGAUAAGCCACAGACUGUAUGUAAGCCAUGCCGUCAGUAUGUGCCAGUUGGAUAUGAGGUGCACCAUCUGUAGAUGCAAAUGACAAUUAGAAAAAGACGUAUUCAAACGACUGUGCAUGCAAAGAGGCAAUACUGGAGAAAUUGGACCAAGAUUUCUGUAUUUCUUAUAGAGGUAAAAAUGUGUUGCGUGCCAUACUCCUUUAAGAGCUGUGAGGAAAUAAAAUUUCUGAAUGUAAGGCAAAUUCUCUUUUUUCAUUGUUAAGAUUUAAUACAUUUUGAGGUUGGAGAAGGCAGCAUAUCUCCCAACAAAGUGGCUAGUACAGAAUGUAAAAAAAAAUAAUUUAAAUAAUGAAAAAAUGCAUUUCCCUCCUUCUACAUGCAAACUGUCUCAUAUUCCAAUUUAUUUCAGUAUAAAUUUAUUCUUGCAUAUGCUAAUACAUGGAAUCAGGAAAAAAUAUUUAAAUGCAUUAGAAAGCAUAUGGAAACAUACAGAUUAUAAGCUCUUUAAUAAAAUCUAUCUUAAUGAUAAAGGCACCACUUAGCAUGCACUCUGGAACUGUGCUCCUUCAUUUAUUUAUGAGUUCCUGUAGACAAAGAAAGUAUCUUCCAAAAAUAGGAAUACCAUAUUUUCAAGGCAUACUGUGUAUUUUAUUUUUGAAACUAGUAAAUGUCAGACAGUAUUCAUACACAGUAUUGACACAUUAAUGUUUUCAUUCAACAGUGAAGAUACCUUUCCUUGUUACAUUAUAUAUUUAUGACACACUGAGCUGUCAAAUAAAUUAUGUCAAAGCAGCUACAGCCAGACCUUGUGACACUUGAAUCAUAGAAUCAGGGCAAAUAACCUUUAAAAUGAAAGACAUAUGACAAGAAUUAGAAACAUUUAAUUUGCAUAAAUAUAAUGUUAACAGUCUUUUCCUUAUUACAUAUUUUAUGCCUAAUUUUUCAUUGCCAUUAUACUCAUUCUUUAACAUCAGUUUGCUCUCUCUUUUUUUCCUCAUUGCUUGCUUUGUUUUGGAAUAUGUGAAACAAAUUCUAUAAGAGCAUAUGAUCAGAUCACCAUUUGAAUAUACUCUGGUUAGCAAAUCUUAAAUGUUGCGAAAGACUCUUUACUCAUGUUAUAUACUAUUUAAAAUGUAGAAAAAGUUCCUAAAGAUAACUAAAAAUUCCUAAACAUGUCAAGUAAAUAUGUAAUCUCUGAUAACUUUGGACCA